CUCGAACAGCGGCGUUGCACUCUCCAAACACGCUGAAAACGGACACGCGCCUUUGACGAGACAAAGACAGAGAGAGGUCACACAUUCCAAAUAAACGUCUGCAUCCUACGAAUUCAUUGUGAAAGAAAUGCUGACAGGAAAAUCCAAGGAGCGAAAAAUCUGUUUGCUGUACUGUAGGAAACCGGUGCUGAAACGCGACUACCUGUCGGCACCGUGAAGUAGCAACACCCAGCAGCGUUUCAAUCUACUGGGGAAACACAACACAUUUAUAUGGCAAAGUUCCUCGCCGAACUAAUGGGAUGUACUUUGCCUGAGAAAGGCGCAUCUACAAUGUUCGAGUGCAGGAGUCAGCCGCAUAUUGGACUGAGGCAUGUCACCAAACAACGGCCCACCAUAUUUGGGACACUGAUUGAAAAACCGCUGGGGGAUCACAACUCAGCCCCUGUUCUGCACAAGAGGGGACGAGAACAGGAUUUUGUAUAACUGAUAUGGAUUAGCCAAGCUUUUUAAAGAGAUCCAGCCCAUCUUGUGCUACAUUGACUUAACAAGACAGCUGCAGUGUCACCAAAAUGUAUUUGGACACUUAAGACACAUUUAAAAUGUA